UAACUACUCUCUCCGUUCAGAAUUACUUAUUGUAAAAAUGGAUGUAUCUAGACGUAUUUUAGUUCUAGAUAUCUCCAUUUUCAAGACAAGUAAUUUCGAACGGAGGAAGUAGGUA
rnacentral:pre_miRNA from 1 species